GCUCUUCAGGGUGGUGCACUAUUCCCAGAUUUUCUCUGGAAGCUGUGUUCCAUCACCUUUCUCAGACUUCCCCACACUCCCCCUCAGGACAUCAGAGGGACGGCCCCCGAAUUCAUUCUUGCAGCAAAGAGCCUCAAGACACUGCUCAGACCAGGAAAUGAGGGACCUGUUCCUACAAAUUGCUGUCAAAAUGUAUUCUUAAUAUUUGUUCUCUGGAGUCACUGUUUUGGUGACCUCAGUCCCUGGAGGCUCCUCCUGGGGGCGAUAGGAUGCCUUCAGAGGGGAGCUGACAGCCCUGUGUUGUGUCUGGGCUCGCGGGAGGCCAUCGCUGUCUCCAUUGGAGCCAGAUGUUUUCCCAGCCCUUAACCUGCUGUGGUUUCUUAGCUCAACGUCUCCAGUGCGACUCUCCCACAACACCCAGCGCCAUCUUGUAGACGCGCUGAUGCUUCCGGACCGCGGGCGCCCCACCGGGAAGAGCGCUCCACGCUGAAGAGGAAGGAAACUUCACACUUAAUUCAUCAAAUUCAAACUGAGCUGUGGUGAAAGGAACGGGGCGGAGUGAAAGGAACACCCACAUGCCCCAGAAGACCCCGGGGCAUCGCUGCCUUUCAGCUUCUUUUGCGCUUUCUGCAGCUCGUGUCACAUUCCAAGGACACUCAGCUCUGCGCACAUGCACAGAGGGCCGCGUCUGUCCCGGGGGCGUGUUACCUAAAACCAGGCGCUGACCUCCAGGUUAUGGGUUCUUCUGGAGUCUUCUGAACCUGCCGGGCAUUUCUGACUGGAUGAAAAUUAACAAAAGUCCACGUUCAUCCUGAUGAAAAUUAGCAGCAGUUCAUCUUAGUUUAAUUGCCACAACGUGCAGCUAUGAGAAAUUAGGCAAAGUGACAAGACUGAAUCCUCAGGAAAUAUACUUAAUUCUCCUUAUUGGUGUUGCCUCUGAGGACAUGCUGUGAUGUGAUGGUCCUUUAGGAAGGGGGAAACAGCAAGUGGAGAAGAAGCUUCCUUUUUAAUGACACGACCUGGAAGUUGCAAAUAUGUCUUCAACUCACAUCCAAUUGGCCAGAGCCUAGCUGCAAGAGAAGCUGGAAACAUCUCUAGCUGUGUGGCCAUAUUCUGCGGCUUCUGCACUUUCUUUCAUGAGAAGGAAUGAGAUUGGAACUAUAAGGCCUGAUAAAAUUUGGAAGUCAUCAUUUAUUUAACAAUCACCAGGCAGAUAUGAAGAGGAAGGGGGACUUGGGCAGAUAUUUCGGACAGCCAGGCAAAGUCAGACAUUCUUGGAACUGAUGCAAUCUAGGUUUCAGAAGAGAUUGUAAAGCCCCGAAGACCUUUAUCUGUUCCACAGUGAUGCACUGGGGAGGACACCAGCCAAACAAUGGCAUCUGUGGCCCCUGGUGGAUUGAUACUUAAAGGCCAGCUAAAGCGGGAAACACUUUCCCAAGAUAGCUGGACUGCCUUCACUUGGAGAUCUGACCACUUUGUAGAAUUUCAAGAAAACUCUCAUGGAAUCAUGGAAUAAAGAUGUCAGCCAAAAGCCCUA